AGGAUGAACGCUAGCGGCAGGCUUAAUACAUGCAAGUCGAGGGGCAGCAGCUUUGUAGCAAUACGAGGGGCUGGCGACCGGCAAACGGGUGCGGAACACGUACGCAACCUUCCUUUAACUGGAAGAUAGCCCACCGAAAGGUGGAUUAAUACUCCAUAACAUAUUGAAGAGGCAUCUCUUUGAUAUUAAAGCUCCGGCGGUUAAAGAUGGGCGUGCGUCUGAUUAGGUAGUUGGCGGGGUAACGGCCCACCAAGCCUUCGAUCAGUAGCUGAUGUGAGAGCAUGAUCAGCCACACGGGCACUGAGACACGGGCCCGACUCCUACGGGAGGCAGCAGUAAGGAAUAUUGGUCAAUGGAGGCAACUCUGAACCAGCCAUGCCGCGUGCAGGAAGACGGCCCUCUGGGUUGUAAACUGCUUUUAUUCGGGAAUAAACCUAUCUACGUGUAGAUAGCUGAAUGUACCGAAGGAAUAAGGAUCGGCUAACUCCGUG
rnacentral:rRNA from 1 species